rnacentral:miRNA from 1 species
AAGAGAGCUCACCAUGAACAGU